ACGAACGCUGGCGGCGUGCUUAACACAUGCAAGUCGAACGGAAAGGCCCUGCUUUUGUGGGGUGCUCGAGUGGCGAACGGGUGAGUAACACGUGAGUAACCUGCCCUUGACUUUGGGAUAACUUCAGGAAACUGGGGCUAACACCGGAUAGGAGCUCCUGCUGCAUGGUGGGGGUUGGAAAGUUUCGGCGGUUGGGGAUGGACUCGCGGCUUAUCAGCUUGUUGGUGGGGUAGUGGCUUACCAAGGCUUUGACGGGUAGCCGGCCUGAGAGGGUGACCGGCCACAUUGGGACUGAGAUACGGCCCAGACUCCUACGGGAGGCAGCAGUGGGGAAUAUUGCACAAUGGGCGGAAGCCUGAUGCAGCAACGCCGCGUGCGGGAUGACGGCCUUCGGGUUGUAAACCGCUUUCGCCUGUGACGAAGCGUGAGUGACGGUAAUGGGUAAAGAAGCACCGGCUAACUACGUG
rnacentral:rRNA from 1 species